UCACUGGUAGUCCAGUGGUUAGAACUCAGCACUUUCACUGCUAAGGCCCAUGUUCAAUCCCUGGUCUGGGAA
rnacentral:tRNA from 1 species